GAAGCCAACAGGCGAGUGGCGAAGGUGGCGGCAGCGGCGGCGGGGGCAGUCACCGGCUAGGGCGACGGCUCCGAGGCCGAGUGGCGGUCCGACAGAGUCCUCCGUGUCCUCCCCCGCAUGACCCCCUUGUUUAUUCAAUGCAAAAGAAUCCUCUCCAAUUUUACUGAGGUGGCUGACCACGUCCACGACCAAAUCCGUCUCAACUGGAAUUUGGCUGCUGACCCAGCCCCAGCCUCAGCUUUCUUGUCGGCACUAAGUGGCACAGCACUCCAUCUGUAGAUGGAGUCUUGCUCUGUCACCUAGGCUGGAGUGCAUUGGUGUGAUCACGGCUCACUGCAACCUCUGCCUCCCAGGUUCAAACAAUUCUCCUGCCUCAGCCUCUUGAGUAGCUGGGAUUACAGGGUCUGGCUCUGUCACCCAGGCUGGAGUGCAGUGACACGAUCUCAGCUCACUGUAACCUCCGCCU
rnacentral:lncRNA from 1 species